rnacentral:rRNA from 1 species
AGCAGCCGCGGUAAUUCCAGCUCCAAUAGCGUAUAUUAAAGUUGUUGCAGUUAAAAAGCUCGUAGUUGAAUUUCGGGGUUAGUAGGUUGGUCGUGCCAAUGGUAUGCACUGGCCUUACUGAUUCCUCCUUCCUGAUGAGCCGUAAUGCCAUUAAUUUGGUGUUGCGAGGAAUCAGGACUGUUACUUUGAAAAAUUAGAGUGUUUAAAGCAGGCUCGCGCUUGAAUACAUUAGCAUGGAAUAAUGAAAUAGGACGUUCGAUCCUAUUUUGUUGGUUUCUAGGAUUGACGUAAUGAUUAAUAGGGAUAGUUGGGGGCAUUAGUAUUCAAUUGUCAGAGGUGAAAUUCUUGGGUUUAUUGAAGACUAACUACUGCGAAAGCAUUUGCCAAGGAUGUUUUCAUUAAUCAAGAACGAAAGUUAGGGGAUCGAAGACGAUCAGAUACCGUCGUAGUCUUAACCAUAAACUAUGCCGACUAGGGAUCGGAUGAUGUUAAUUUUUAAUGA